rnacentral:rRNA from 1 species
GACGAACGCUGGCGGCGCGCCUAACACAUGCAAGUCGAACGAGCGAGAGAGAGCUUGCUUUCUCGAGCGAGUGGCGAACGGGUGAGUAACGCGUGAGGAACCUGCCUCAAAGAGGGGGACAACAGUUGGAAGCGACUGCUAAUACCGCAUAAGCCCACGGUGCCGCAUGGCACAGAGGGAAAAGGAGCAAUCCGCUUUGAGAUGGCCUCGCGUCGGAUUAGCUAGUUGGUGAGGUAAUGGCCCACCAAGGCGACGAUCGGUAGCCGGACUGAGAGGUUGAACGGCCACAUUGGGACUGAGACACGGCCCAGACUCCUACGGGAGGCAGCAGUGGGGAAUAUUGCACAAUGGGGGAAACCCUGAUGCAGCGACGCCGCGUGGAGGAAGAAGGUCUUCGGAUUGUAAACUCCUGUUGUUGGGGAAGAUAAUGACGGUACCCAACAAGGAAGUGACGGCUAACUACGUG